ACUUUAGGAAAGUAUUUUUCCUCCAGCUCACACGGAUUCUUUUCAUUCUCUCUAAGCUCUUUCCCAAACCCAUUUUCCUUCACUCCAAAACUCACAUGCAGAAGCAGAGAUGAAAACAAUAGAAAAUUUUAGUAUAGAUUAAGCUCAUCCAAAGCUCCAAGCUCAAAGCUCUCCAAGUUGACCUCAUGCCUCUCUCCAAAUGGAUUUUUCCAAAGUAAAGGACUACAGAUCGAGAAGAGUUGCUUGCCAAAAAUUGAGUUAAUAUGCAUAUUUCAAGCUUUUUGAGAUUGAGCUUCUAUCUUCUGAGAUGGUUGAGGUAUCCAAGCGUCUCCAGGAUAACUUUAAAGUGGGUGCUCUUGCUUAGAGUGACGAAGAUGCUUCGUUCUUUCAUUUUUAAUCAAAAUUUGUUGAUUCAUUUUGUGAUUAUACUCCAAUUGUUAGUGAUGUGAUAUUUUGAUGUUGGAUCAUGUUCCUCAUUCCGUUUCCUUUACUUGAUGGAACAAUCAAAAAUUAAGUUGAUUCAAUCCAAGCCAUUUUGUGAUUAUAUUCUGUUUCCUAACCAAGUUGUCUCAUGUACCAUGAGUAGAAUGCGAAAAGACAAAAGUACUCAGUUAACACAUUUGUGAGAAUUAGCUUACAAUUUCAUUCUUUUUAGACAUAUGUUUCAGUUAAUAUAUCAUAUGUAUGUUGUGUGUGUUCUCAUAUUAGAAUGGUUUACAUAUUAUUCCAGUAGGUACAAUAUUAAUAUAUUUGGGCUAGCUGUAUACACUCUCUGUUCUGAUUAUUAAAAAGUGUAUGAAAUUUCUAAAUAUAUGGGGAGUGUUCAAAAGAAGUGGUGCCCUCUACAUUAUAGUUAUGUUCUAUUUCUCAUGUAGCUUUUUUUCGGGCAAGUAUUGUGUUGCUUUCUUUUGUCCUUGUUUUAUUAUUGAUAUGUGCAUAUUCUUAGCUUCAUGUGACUGACUAGUAGCUUUACUUAACCAUUGUUGAACCAUACAAUAUCUAAAUUUCAUUAUUUAUGUGUUACAAAUAUACUUAUUUUUUGGUUCAGAAAAUAAAAAUUGCUAAGCAUCGAAAAUGGAAGGUAAAUAGACUAAUCUCCGGUCAAGCAUGAUUUACUAAUGAAUUUAUAAGUGCAAUAGAUGAAUUUAUUAAAUUUGCUUGUAGGCAACACAAGUAUUUGUCAGAAAUAGUUAUAAGUUGUCCUUGUAAGCGUUGUAAAAAUAUGAAGCACUUGACACCCGAUGAAGUUAUUGUGCAUGUUUUUGACAAAUGAUUCACACCAAGAUAUUGAUAUCGACAUCACAUGGAGAGAAAGCUCCUUCAAUAAAUUUGAAUAAACAUAUCUAUUCUGGUGACUCAAGUAGUCAUCAAGAAUGUUACUUUGACAUGCCCUCAAGUAGUCAAUGUAACAUUCUCGAAAAAAAUUGUGAACACGUAUGUAUGAUUGAUGAUACCGCUGCUGUAGAAUUUAAUCAUCAAGUUGAACCCAAUAUAGAAGAGUCUCUGAAUACAGGUGCUAGAAGAUGCUAUAAAGUGUGGAAUUCAGCUCAAAAUUUCUUAUGGCAUGGAUGUGAAUAUUCAGAGUUGUUUCUGACUGUGAGAAUGAUAAGUAUUAAAUAUGAAUACAAUAUGUAUCAUAGUUGUUUUAAUGCAAUGACUCAUUAAUGAAGGAGACAAGCUCUCAAGAUAAUAACAUACCUCUUGAUUACUACCGAGCAAAGAAGCUAGUGUCGGGGCUUGGUCUAACUAGACAAAAAAUUGAUUUUUGUGUUAAUUAAUGUAUGUUAUAUUACAAGGUUGAUAAAGAGAUGACAGAAUGUAAGAUUUUUAAAGAACCUCGUUAUAAAAAAUGUAUGGACAAGAAAGGUAAGAAAAAUAUUCCACACAAGACAA